rnacentral:tRNA from 1 species
GGGGGUGUAGCUCGUGUAAAGUGUGUGCUUACCAUGCACAAGAUUUGGGGUUCAAUACCCAGCACCCCCC